GUGCGUGCCGCCAGCACAUUCCUAAAACCAGAACAACACAGAAAAGAAUUAGGAUGGCCCUUGCACAAGGGAUGACAUGGGAAUUCCGUGAGAGGUUCUACAUUUUU
rnacentral:snRNA from 1 species